rfam:Triticum aestivum genome assembly, contig: Triticum_aestivum_CS42_TGACv1_scaffold_320343_4BL
CACUUACUUCCUCCGUCUCAAAAUUCUUGUCUUAAAUUUGUCUAAAUACGGAUAUAUCAAGUCAUGUUUUAGUAUUAGAUACAUCCGUAUCUAGACAAAUCUAAGACAAGAAUUUUGAGAUGGAGGAAGUAUUAU